ACUUUUGAGGUCUUUCGGGUUGUAACUUGGCUUGGCUUAGGGUAUGGAUUAUUAAGAAAAAGGAAAGCAAGUGGCUUUUGGUUCAGAGUCGAUGUUACAUCCUGUGUUUGUUUAUUUUACUUCCUCGGUUUUCUUUUCUUAUUAUUUUUCUUUUUCUUCACCGAAUGCCCUUUUCCGUGCUUCUUUUUUUUAAACUUUGAGUUAUAAUUUUUUCUCUUUUUAUUUUUCUUUGCUUCUCUCGAUUCAUCAAUUUUUUCUUUUUUUGUUCUUGCACUUUCUUGGGCUUUGGGAGCUUUUGGGGUUUUUACCCCAAACCUAGCUUUUCCACACAGUUUGAAUGUACUAUCAUAACUCUGAACAGGGUAAGGAAGUGUUUUUAGCUAAGGGGUACAUUUAUGGGGUUUACACAAACAAAUGGAUAUAAGCUCAAAUGGGGUUAACGA
rnacentral:lncRNA from 1 species